AUCUUUUACCAACAAUUUUCAUAAUAUAAUUGACUGUUUUUAGCGUAAGUAAUAAAAAAAUUUGAUGAUUGAUAUUUGAGAUUUUGAUUUCGAAAUUUAGUUGCUUUUCGUAUUUUUAGCUAAAUUUAUUUUUUAAAAACUAAAUGAAACGAAUAGCAUGAUAUUUUUCUCUCUAAAAAAAUACAAUUCUCUCAAUAUAUAUUAUACCAAGUUAGUAG
rnacentral:lncRNA from 1 species